UUGCCUUCCUGCUAGCUGACACUCCUCACAGCACCACGCAGAGGGCGGUGCAUUUGAGAGGGUGCGAGAGGGGGAAUUCGUCACAAACAAUCCAGCAGAAAGUUUCUGGGAAUGGUCUCCGAGGAAAAUGCUGAAAGCAGGUUGCAAAAUUUUCAUCCAAACUCAAGUUAUUUGUCUUACACCCUUACUUGACCCGCAUUCUUCACGCCCGGGCUCUGCCCGACUAUUCCCAGCCUCAGCCCACUCCCAGCUCCCUGCCAGGACCAUCUCCUUCGAACUUGCCGCUUCCUGUUUUUGAUUUGCAAUUGAUAGAAAACCAGGUGAAAGCGAUCAAUAGCGACUACGAUCGGAUUUGUGACUGUCAUGAACGAGCAGCCGCCGUGCACGCUUAGAUCCUUGCAUUCCGACGAAGGCAGUUUUGUGAAAUUUGUUAAUCUGACCCAGCGCACUGCAAGACCUUGGUGGAUCGAUUUUAAGGGACUUCCUCAAAAUUAUGACGACAUUGCCCCGGGAGGCAUUUUGCAUAUGCGCACCUAUCGCACUCAUCCUUGGGUUUUUCGAGAUGCAAACACUGGGGAUAAAUUGCUUAUAAAGAAAGAUGAAAUUUAUUUUCCAACAUCUGCACUAUAUGAUGGAAACAAACCCGUUUAUCUUCCUGUUUACAUCACACUUCCAGUGUAUUCACUGAAGGAUUGGUGUUUGCAAUUUAUUCGCAAACACGUGAAGUCGGAGGACUACACAAAGUUGAAAAUACCGUGUGUAUUGCAAACUGAUCUCCAAAAUCCUCCAUGUCUAGAAAAGGAGAUUGAAAACCUGAGUACUCGUUACAGAAACAGCUAACAAUUUAAAAAUUGCUACUGUGCUGUUUCCAUUUCCACCUUGUUUUACAUUGUUAAAGUAUAACUUAACUUUUCCCAUUUCACUUAUUUCUAUGUUUUUACCAGCUUGAAGAAUGGUUUAGUGGGACAUGUAAAUGAAAAUUUUUCAAUCUUCAGUUACAAAAUUAGGGAUUUAUUGGUGGAGCAGAUGCUAAUUUUAAUCUGCCACUAUAAACUAGAUAGAUCUUAUGUAUUUCUAAUGAGGGUAAAAAUAGCUUGUUUAUAAAACAGGCUAUUUGUCUUUCAAUUAAGAUUAAAUAAAAUUUCCCUGUCCAUAAGUAAUGGUUGGAACUGGAAUGGAAUAACAAUGAAAACUCUCAUGCUCUGCUUCAUAGUCGAUAAAUUAUUAAAGUGCAAUUUAAAAAUCAAUACACUGUCCAUUGGCUCAAAUUAUUCUAAUCUUUCAAGUGAAAAGUUAAGAGUUAUUUUCCUCUCUUUGUUCUCUCUACUGGGAGUAAUAAAAUGCAUCCAAAGUAUAUGAGGCGAAGUCAUUAGAGUAUCCGGACUACUGUUGAAGAACGGCAGCUUGAAAAGCUUAAGGCCCAAAGAACAAAUGGGCGUCCACGUGAAUAGUGCAGUUUGACUAAUGGUGUCACAUUGGUUAUCUGUUCUUGGGCUGAUCUGGCAGUCAUGUGCAGAAGCCCCAUUGUUAAUUUCUUUGCACUCCUCUGAAAAGGAGACUAUUUUGAUUCGGGCCGAUGAAAGUGAAGUGAGAGGCUCAGAAAUAUAUUUCUGCAGCUACAUUGCCUGUCCUUGCACUGACCUAGAUAUCUCGGAAAUUGCAGGUGUUGAAGUGAGCAUAUAUAGGACCAACAGAACAUGUGCUGCCCCAUUUUCCUUUAAGUACAACUUAAAAAAAAAUAAUUUCCUGGAAUCAAAGAGGAAAACUAUAUUGAGAUACUUUGGGGGAUAUAUAUAUUUUACUCCUAUAAUAAUACUUGAUCUUUAUCUCACAAGGUACUGAAUGUGUAAAGCAAUUGUUUUAUUGCUUCUUUUUGAUUUACUUCUUCAGUCUGUCUAGGUACCAUAUCCGAUGCAGACUUUGGUGACCAUGGUUUUCCAUAGAGAUCUAUCCUCCGUUGUUUGGAUGUCUUCCAUUUCCUCGAUGUGUAGCCACCUGGCUAUGCUUUUGAUGUACAUAAGCCGAGGUCUUCCUCUAGGUGCUUCAUCAGAAUCAGUUGCUGAAUGUAAAUUUGAUUGUCUUUGUUACAUUUGCCUUUUUUGUUAUUACAGAAAAUUUAUACUACCCAGUUUUUGAAACUGCCAAAAACUUAAAGAAAAAACAGAAAAUGCAAGAUACAUUCAGCAUCUCAGGCUGCUGUAGUGGAAAGAAAAUACAAGUUAAUGCUUCAGAUCUGGGAGAAGAUGCUGCCUGACCAGUUGAGCAUUUUCGGCUGUUUCUGUUUUUAUAUCAGAUCUCUAGUUUUUGCAGUUUUUAAAAAUUUAAAUUUAUUAUUGAAAGUGCUACUUUGGGUGUUGUUCAAUCUUGGACAAUGUUUCUUGGGAGUCAGUAAAAAAAUUCAUCAUUCAACGAGCUUAAUGUAAACUUGAUUUAUUAUGUUCUCUGCAUGAGCAGGUGUAUUGGCGUGUGAAACAGCAUUGGAACCGGGCAUACUAGCACCU